AGAAAACAUAUAUUAAUAAUAAUAAAAAAAACAAUAGCAAUAUUUCUGGAUCUGAGAAACCAGAAACUCAUUCAUCUUACUCACGCAAAAGGGUUCUCACUCUCGACAUCUUUCAAACUCUCAAUCUCUCGUUAACCCUCAAUCGGCUUGCGCCAACCUCACGGUACGCCACUCCCAAUCUCACUCUAAACGCGAAAACCAUGGUUUCAAAAGAAGAUCCAGUAAGAAGACUCACCUUCGGCGGUGAUUCGGCGGCGAUGGUGAGCUUAUAUCCUCCUCUCCUCGCUAGAUUCUUUCACGCCGUCACCAAAAUCAGGUUUUGUUUAGGAAAUUAGGGUUGUUUCGUGGCCGCCCAGAUUUUAGGUUUUUUGUUUUUCUCCCCCUCAAUCGUUUCCACUCUCACCUUUUAUAUUCAACAGCUAGGGUUUCAGAUUGGCCCAAGGAGAUCAAAAGGGGUCUCUGCGAAAUCCCCCUUAGGGUGCUCAGAAUUUUGAUUGCUCUAUUGAUGUUUGGUCUGGAACGUGAAAACUUGGUGAAAAUUAAAACUUCGGUUAUUUGCAAAGCUUGGUGAUUAUCAACAUCGGUUGAGUGAACAUGGUAUUUCAAAUAUGCAGGGUAGCUUAAUGACUGUUAUGGUUUGGGUUAUGCAGGUCUUGGAAGUAUCGCGUUUGAGGUUAUGGCUGGGACACGGUUUUAGCUACAGGCAUUUUUUUUAAGUAACACCCUCAAUUGAUUAAGAAUGACUUUUGCAUUACCGGAGAAUCAUAUGCCGGACACUAUAUUCCAGCUCUCGCAUCCCGGGUUCACAACGGAAACAAAAACAAAGAAGGAAUUAUUAUAAACUUCAAGGAUUUUGCCAUUGGUAAUGGAUUGACCAACCCGGAAAUUCAGUACCCAGUAUGUACUUAGUUUGCAGUUGAUAACAAACUGAUCACAAAGGAAGAUCAAGCAGAUAUCAUCAAGUUGAUCCUAUUUCGUGUAGGUGCCGCAAAAAAUUGUGUGAGCAAAGGUGGAGAAAGUUGCGAAACAACCUUAUUACAAUGUCAACCGAUAGUCACUAAUAUCUUAGCCAUUGCUGGCAAUUAAUUACUACGACAUCAGGAAGAAAUGUGAAGGAGAAUUGUGUUAUGACUUCUCAAGUUGGGGAAAUAAGAAGACCGUUACGGAUGCGAUGCGUUGGGUGUUGGGAAAAUAGAGUUUGGAAAUGUUUGAAAGUUUAAUAUUACCGAAUGUUAUGAAAUGUGUGUAUGCGCUAUUUUGAUUUGGGAUGAACUAUGGAUAUAAAAUGGAUUUUUUAGAAAUAA